UACACGAGCGGCGAACGGGUGAGUAACACGUGGGUGAUCUGCCUUGCACUUCGGGAUAAGCCUGGGAAACUGGGUCUAAUACCGGAUAUGACCACUGAUCGCAUGGUCGGUGGUGGAAAGAUUUAUCRRUGCGAGAUGGGCCCGCGGCCUAUCAGCUUGUUGGUGAGGUAACGGCUCACCAAGGCGACGACGGGUAGCCGACCUGAGAGGGUGACCGGCCACACUGGGACUGAGACACGGCCCAGACUCCUACGGGAGGCAGCAGUGGGGAAUAUUGCACAAUGGGCGAAAGCCUGAUGCAGCGACGCCGCGUGCGGGAUGACGGCCUUCGGGUUGUAAACCGCUUUUGACAGGGACGAAGCGCAAGUGACUGUACCUGUAGAAUAAGGACCGGCCAACUACGUGCCAGCAGCCGCGGUAAUACGUAGGGUCCGAGCGUUGUCCGGAAUUACUGGGCGUAAAGAGCUUGUAGGCGGUUCGUCGCGUCGUUUGUGAAAACUUGGGGCUCAACCUUAAGCUUGCAGGCGAUACGGGCGGACUAGAGUACUUCAGGGGAGACUGGAAUUCCUGGUGUAGCGGUGAAAUGCGCAGAUAUCAGGAGGAACACCGGUGGCGAAGGCGGGUCUCUGGGAAGUAACUGACGCUGAGAAGCGAAAGCAUGGGUAGCAAACAGGAUUAGAUACCCUGGUAGUCCAUGCCGUAAACGGUGGGUACUAGGUGUGGGGCUCCUUCCACGGACUCCGUGCCGUAGCUAACGCAUUAAGUACCCCGCCUGGGGAGUACGGCCGCAAGGCUAAAACUCAAAGAAAUUGACGGGGGCCCGCACAAGCGGCGGAGCAUGUGGAUUAAUUCGAUGCAACGCGAAGAACCUUACCUGGGUUUGACAUACACCGGAAACCUGCAGAGAUGUAGGCCCCCUUGUGGUCGGUGUACAGGUGGUGCAUGGCUGUCGUCAGCUCGUGUCGUGAGAUGUUGGGUUAAGUCCCGCAACGAGCGCAACCCUUAUCUUAUGUUGCCAGCGCGUAAUGGCGGGGACUCGUGAGAGACUGCCGGGGUCAACUCGGAGGAAGGUGGGGACGACGUCAAGUCAUCAUGCCCCUUAUGUCCAGGGCUUCACACAUGCUACAAUGGCCGGUACAGAGGGCUGCGAUACCGCGAGGUGGAGCGAAUCCCUUAAAGCCGGUCUCAGUUCGGAUCGGGGUCUGCAACUCGACCCCGUGAAGUUGGAGUCGCUAGUAAUCGCAGAUCAGCAACGCUGCGGUGAAUACGUUCCCGGGCCUUGUACACACCGCCCGUCACGUCAUGAAAGUCGGUAACACCCGAAGCCGGUGGCCUA
rnacentral:rRNA from 1 species